rnacentral:rRNA from 1 species
ACCCCCUUGAAGACGACGAGGUAGAUAGGGCAGAGGUGGAAGUGUGGCAACACAUGGAGCUGACUGUUACUAAUCGGGUGAGGGCUUGACCAA